GCCCGGAUAGCUCAGUCGGUAGAGCAGGGGAUUGAAAAUCCCCGUGUCGGUGGUUCGAUUCCGCCUCCGG
rnacentral:tRNA from 1 species